CUUAAUUUUUUUUAUAAACAAUCGACACUUAUUAUUGUUCCUUUCUUAAUAUUUGCCCAAUUUUUGACCAAUUUUGACCAACUUUGCCCAAAUUCAGGACAAAUUAAAAAAAAUUCUCCAAAAAAUAGUUAUUUAAAAUAUGUAAAAACUUUUUAUACAAUAAAAAUUAUAUUUGAAAAAUACCAUUUUUUAAUUUGUGCAAUUUCAAUUAAUUCCAACAUCAAAAAUUGACCAAAAUAGGUCUUUUUUACAAAAAUCAAAAGUAUUAAAUUGUUUUUUUUUAUUCAAUUCUUUCUGUUCUAUUUGUAAAUCUUUCUGUUUAUUGUUUCUUUAUUUAUGUUUGCCCAAAUUUGUCCAUUUUUGCCCAAUUUGGUCAAAUUUCGAAAAGUUUCGAAAAAAUCGCUAUUAACAAUAUGUAAAAUUUAUUUUUUGCAAUAAAAACUAUAUUUUGUACAUAAUUAAUCUGAUUUUGUCCAAAUUUGAUCAAUUCCGACAAAAAAAAAUUGUUCAAAAUAGGUCUUCUUUAUAAAAAUCAAUGUUUAUAUUUGCUUUUCUUCCUAAUUCUACGUCUUCUUUUUAUUAAUCACGAUUUCUAUUGAUCUUUUCUUAAUAUUUGCCCUAUAUUGACCAAUUUUGACCAACUUUGCCCAAUUUUGGACAAAUUUUAAAAAGUUUCCAAAAAAUCGCUAAUUAAAAUAUGUAAAAUUAUUUUUUUGCAGUAAAAACUUUAUUUUGAAUAUAAAUAAUUAGAAUUUGUUCAAAUUCGAUAAAUUUCUACAUCAAAAAUUGGCCAAAAAUAGGUCUUUUUUUAUCAAAAUCAAAGCGUAAAAUUGUUUUUUUUUUCAAUUCUACCUCUUCUUUUUAUAAAUUUGAUUUUUAUUGAUCUUUUCUUAAUGUUUGACCAAUUUCGACCAAUUUUGACCAACUUUGCCCAAUUUUGGGCAAAUUUCAAAAUUUUUCCAAUUUUCCAAAAAAAAUUAUUAUUUUUUUUUUUAUCUUUUUAUCAAAAUUAAAGUGUAAGAUUGUUUUUUUUUCCAAUUCUACCUCUUUUUUUUAUGAAUCUUGAUUUUUAUUGAUCUUUUCUUAAUGUUUGACAAAUUUCGACCAAUUUCGACCAAUCUCGAUCAAUUUUGACCAACUUUGCCCAAUUUUGGACAAAUUUUAAAAAGUUUCCAAAAAAUCGCUUAUUAAAAUAUGUAAAAUUGUUUUUUUGCAAUAAAAACUUUAUUUUAAAUAUAAAUAAUCAGAAUUUGUUCAAAUUCGAUAAAUUUCUACAUCAAAAAUUGGCCAAAAAUAGGUCUUUUUUUAUCAAAAUCAAAACGUAAAAUUGUUUUUUUUUCUAAUUCUACCACUUCUUUUUAUAAAUCUUGAUUUUUAUUGAUCUUUUAUUAAUGUUUGACCAAUUUCGACCAAUUUCGACCAAUUUUGGCCAACUUUGCCCAAUUUUGGUCAAAUUUCAAAAUUUUUCCAAUUUUCCAAAAAAAAAUUAUUAUUUACAGUAUGUAAAUUUUUUUUUUUUCCAAAUUAUCUCAAUGAAAAAUUAUAUUUUGAAUGAAAGAAAAAAAAAGAAAUAAUAAUGCGAAUAAAAUUGAGAGGUCAUUGGAGCCGGUGACUGUGUGAUAAUCACGAAUCUCAAAGGGGGAAGUACUCUUUGGCAACGACCUCAACGAGAUCAAAGUGUUUUAUAGAACAUAGUUGGGGUUCGUAGCGUGUGAGCCAUUUAGGUUGGCAAUCGUUUCUUUUUUAAACGCGCAUUAUAUCCUCUUCUCUAAAUAAAAAUUUUUUUCUCUCUCUCUCUCUCUCGUGUGUGUGUGUGUAUGUAAAAAACUACAUAAUCAAGAGCUUCUUUUUUUAAUUUUUAUUUUUACUCUUUUUAAAGAGUCGCAACUAUAAUAAGUGACGCAUUUACGUGGUAAUUAAUUCCCUCGUCACUUUAUAUAUAUAUAUAGAGACAUAAUCGUGACAAUUAUCAUAUAAUGUAUUGGUGGCGCUGUGUGGUGUGUUUGCGCGGGUGCCAUUGACGAGAGGAAAUGCUGCAUUCGCUAGACUGCAAAAACACGCUGAUACCAAAAAAAAAAGGUGCACACAACUUUAAACUUCACAGGACAUUUUUGAACUGGCGGCGAUUUUUUUUCACCCAUAUCGGCAAGAGAGAGAGAGAGAGAGAGAGAGAGAGAGAGAGAGAGA